CCUUCGAUAGCUCAGUUGGUAGAGCGGAGGACUGUAGAACGCUAAAUGCUGAAAUCCUUAGGUCGCUGGUUCAAAUCCGGCUCGAAGGA
rfam:Salmo salar isolate Sally breed double haploid chromosome ssa04, whole genome shotgun sequence.